rnacentral:rRNA from 2 species
ACUAUAGCAAAGAGGAUACACCUGUUCCCAUUCCGAACACAGAAGUUAAGCUCUUUAGCGCCGAUGGUACUUGGUGGGAAGCUGCCUGGGAGAGUAGGACGUAGC